rnacentral:rRNA from 1 species
AACGAACGCUGGCGGCAGGCUUAACACAUGCAAGUCGAGCGAAGACUUCGGUCUUAGCGGCGGACGGGUGAGUAACGCGUGGGAACAUGCCCUUUGCUACGGAACAGUCCCGGGAAACUGGGUUUAAUACCGUAUACGCCCUUCGGGGGAAAGAUUUAUCGGCAAAGGAUUGGCCCGCGUUGGAUUAGGUAGUUGGUGGGGUAAAGGCCUACCAAGCCGACGAUCCAUAGCUGGUUUGAGAGGAUGAUCAGCCACACUGGGACUGAGACACGGCCCAGACUCCUACGGGAGGCAGCAGUGGGAAUCUUAGACAAUGGGGGCAACCCUGAUCUAGCCAUGCCGCGUGAGUGAUGAAGGCCCUAGGGUUGUAAAGCUCUUUCAGCUGGGAAGAUAAUGACGGUACCAGCAGAAGAAGCCCCGGCUAACUCCGUGCCAGCCGCCGCCGUAAAAC